rnacentral:rRNA from 1 species
GCACGGAGUUAGCCGAUCCUUAUUCUUACGGUACCGUCAAGCUCCGACACGUCGGAGUGUUUCUUCCCGUACAAAAGCAGUUUACAAUCCAUAGGACCGUCAUCCUGCACGCGGCAUGGCUGGUUCAGGCUUGCGCCCAUUGACCAAUAUUCCUCACUGCUGCCUCCCGUAGGAGUCUGGUCCGUGUCUCAGUACCAGUGUGGGGGAUCUCCCUCUCAGGACCCCUACCCAUCGUCGCCAUGGUAAGCCGUUACCUUACCAUCUAGCUAAUGGGACGCAUGCUCAUCUUUCACCGUUGGAACUUUAAUAAUGUCUCGAUGCCGAAACACUAUACUAUGAGGUAUUAAUCCAAAUUUCUCUGGGCUAUCCCUCUGUGAAAGGUAGAUUGCAUACGCGUUACGCACCCGUGCGCCGGUCUCUUGGUCCGAAAACCAAUACCCCUCGACUUGCAUGUGUUAAGCCUGCCGCUAGCGUUCAUC